rnacentral:rRNA from 1 species
CUCUUGAGGAUCUACUGUAAUGCUUCUGGUCAGCGGGUUAACAUGGAGAAAUCCUUAAUCUUUUACCGUAAGGGUGUUCUUGAACCUUCCCAUGAUGCCAUUAAAAAUAUUCUUGUUGUCCAUAAUCAAUCAUUAUCAGAGAAGUAUCUUGGCUUGCCAUCAGAUGUUGGCAGGCCAAAGGGGGUCUUUAAGUACAUAAAGGACACAAUUUGGACGAAAGUGCAAGGCUAG